rnacentral:rRNA from 1 species
AUUGGGCCUAAAGCAUCCGUAGCUGGCUAAGUUAGUCCCUUGUUAAAUCCACCGAAUUAAUCGUUGGUUUGCGGGGGAUACUGCUUGGCUAGGGGACGAGAGAGGCAGACGGUAUUUCCGGGGUAGGGGUGAAAUCCUAUAAUCCCGGGAAGACCACCAGUGGCGAAGGCUGUCUGCUAGAACGCGCCCGACGGUGAGGGAUGAAAGCUGGGGGAGCGAACCGGAUUAGAUACCCGGGUAGUCCCAGCUGUAAACGAUGCAGGCUAGGUGUUUGGACGGCCACGUGCCGUUCUAGUGCCGCAGGGAAGCUGUUAAGCCUGCCGCCUGGGGAGUACGAUCGCAAGAUUGAAACUUAAAGGAAUUGGCGGGGGAGCACCACAAGGGGUGAAGCUUGCGGUUUAAUUGGAGUCAACGCCGGAAAUCUCACCGGGAGCGACAGCAGUAUGAAGGCCAGAUUAAAGGUCUUGCCAGACGAGCUGAGAGGAGGUGCAUGGCCGUCGCCAGUUCGUGCCGUGAGGUGUCCUGUUAAGUCAGGCAACGAUCGAGACCCGCGUCCUCUGUUGCAACUAGCUUUGAGCUGGGCACACUGAGGAGACCGCCACUGAUAAAGUGGAGGAAGGAGCGGGCCACGGCAGGUCGGUAUGCCCCGAAUCUCCC